GAUGAACGCUAGCGGCAGGCCUAAUACAUGCAAGUCGAACGGGAUCCGAGGGUAGCUUGCUACCCGAUUUGAGAGUGGCGCACGGGUGCGUAACGCGUGAGCAACCUACCCAUAUCAGGGGGAUAGCCCGGAGAAAUUCGGAUUAAUACCGCAUAAGAAUGUAUUAACACAUGUUAAAGCAUUUAAAUAUUUAUAGGAUAUGGAUGGGCUCGCGUGACAUUAGCUAGUUGGUGAGGUAACGGCUCACCAAGGCGACGAUGUCUAGGGGCUCUGAGAGGAGAAUCCCCCACACUGGGACUGAGACACGGACCAGACUCCUACGGGAGGCAGCAGUAAGGAAUAUUGGUCAAUGGGCGAAAGCCUGAACCAGCCAUGCCGCGUGCAGGAUGACUGCCCUAUGGGUUGUAAACUGCUUUUGUCGAGGAAUAAACCUAUCUACGUGUAGCUAGUUGAACGUACUCGAAGAAUAAGGAUCGGCUAACUCCGUGCCAGCCGCCGCAGUAA
rnacentral:rRNA from 1 species